GACAGAGGGGGAAAGCGUUGUCCGGAGUUACUGGGCGUAAAGGGCGCGGAGGCGGUCUGCGGCGUCGGCGCUGAAAGCGCCCCGCUUAACGGGGCGAGGCGUGCCGAUACGCGCAGACUUGAGGCGAGCAGAGGGUGGUGGAAUUCCGGGUGGAGCGGUGAAAUGCGUAGAGAUCCGGAGGAACGCCAGUGGGGAAGCCGGCCACCUGGGCUCGUCCUGACGCUGCGGCGCGACCGCGUGGGGAGCAAACCGG
rnacentral:rRNA from 1 species